rnacentral:tRNA from 1 species
AGAAAGAAGCUAAAGGGAUACGCGGCUGGUUUGAACUCAGCUAUUAGGGGGUUCGAGUCCUUCCUUUCU